GCUGGGAUUUCUGUGCCACCGCCGCGCCCGGCUCUGACCAGUUCUGGAAGGAGAGAAAAGAGAAGUCUAAAUUCCCUGCCUGGGAGGUGGGUCCCGAGCAAGAGAAGACCAGGCAGUGGCCGCCGUGGGCACAAGCAGGCCUUGCGGGAAGGAUUUCCAGCAGCUGAUGAGCAGAAGGUCCUGAUCUGCACAAUUGGGAACAAGGGUAGGUAAGAAUUGUCGUGUGGAUUACAGGGGACAGUGUAUGCAAACCCUUGGCGCAAGGUCUGGCACGUGGUGACGGAGGUAAGGGCGAGGGUGAGGGAUAGGGGUGGUGAUUCCAGGCCCUGGUCCCAGCUUGACCCUCUGGUGGGGCCUUAUCCAGGGACGUGCCCCCACUCGACUUCCCUCCUCAUGUCCAGCUUCUGGGCCAUCCUGCCUCUGUGCCCCACCCUGCACCCCCUUUCCCUGGCACGAUCCUGUCCAGCAACCUGCCUGGCCUAGAGGUCGCAUCCCUGACUUAUUUUCCCUGGGGAGGCAAGGCUCAUCUGGGGUCUUUGAAGAGGGAGACUCUGGGGGAGAUGAAGCCCGCAGGACAGACGCAGGGCCAGGGAAACAGGGACAUAGGCUUACGUGGGCACACCUUUUUACGUGGGCACACCCCUUUAUGAGGGCACUGGGCACACCCCCGCUAGUGUGGGCCCACAGCCCCUUCCUUACGCGGACACACACCCCCUUCGUGGGCACAACCCCUUUACGUGGGCACACUCUCCUUACGCAGGCACUCACCCCCUUACGUAGGCACAACCCCAUUCAGGCGCACACUCCUUUACGUGGGAACACCCCCCCCCCAUGUGGGCACACACCCCUUUCGUGGGCACACCCCCCUUACGCGGGCACACCCCCCUUACAUGGGCACACCCCCAUUCAGGCGCACACCCAGACACAGGCCCACACACACAGGACAGACACUCACAGAGACAGAGAAGAGACCACUUUUGCGGAGUUUGCCCAUAAUUUUGCAACCAGAAAAUUGAGAAAGAUGACUGUUCUAAUUCCGGCCUCCGUGUGAGCAUUUGUCGUGAAUUGCCUGGUGACAGGCUGGGACGGUGGCGCGCAUCAGUGAGUCCAAUGUUUAGAGCUUCCAAAGAUCCUAAUGUGGCCCUGGGGAUGGAAGGGGCGGGGGAGCGGCCAUGAGCUGGAACCCCGGCCUGGGAGGGGGACUGAGAGGACCUGGGUCAGCUGGUGGACAGACAGGGCCGGGGCCAAUGGCAGGCUGUUGCUGGGGAAACGCGGCUCCAUGCCAUCACCGGGACCGGGAGGCGCACAGCCAGCUGCCCGCCCUCUGUCUAAUUCUCAGCCUCCCCAGGGUCCAGGCCCUCUCUCUUUCUCUGUGUCCUUCAUGAAGAGGAGCCACCCCUCGGACGAGGGACAUGAGACGGCACUGGCCAGAGGAGGAUGUGGGUCUGCGAUGGGGACAGGACUGAGCCAGGAAGGCAAACGCAGCAGAUUUUUAUGACCACCCGCGCCCCUCCGGGGUGAAUUCAGCAUCACCCCAUCCUAGGCUCCUCCGCCAUGAUGUCCUGCCUCAUCCUGGGCCCAGAGCUAUGGAGUCCCCGGACCACAGACAGAGCCUCGGAACCCAGGAGCCAAGCAUAAACAAUGCAAUAACAGUGGAAUCCAGCGAUAAUAUGAAGUGUAUUGUGCCAGUCUGGGAGCCAGGACUAAGUCAAGGCCAGCUGUGGAUGUCCAGCCACACACUGGUGGCUGAAGGUCCAUGUCUUCCUGUUGACCUCGGGAGGGCUGCUGCAGACACACUGCCCUCGGCCCCUGCACCUGCGGCCAUGCUUACCAACAGGACACCCUCGGGAGAGAGAAGUGCACUUACCAGGACAUUCAGCCUUGACCCAACGUGUCACUUAACCGAUGGGUGGAAUUCCCAGGCUCAGGUUGUCCCCAGUACCAUCCGCCCGGGAGGCUUUCUGUCCCCGUGGCCUAGUAUUCACUCCGCGGUCCCAGCUGCAGUGGCCGUCUCUCCUCAGCAGCUCCCCUCUCCACCUAGAUGCUCUGAAGAUGCACAGAGAGUUGUCCUGUGGGUCCCUGUCAGCUGUUUUCUUCUUCCCUUUAUUUAUGUUUUCUGUGCUGGGGAUGGAACCCAGGGGCGCUCAACCCUGAGCCAUAGCCUAGCCCUUUUGAUAUUUUAUUUAGAGAGAGAAUCUUCCUGAGUUGCUUAGGGCCUUGCAAGUUGCCGAGGCUGGCUUUGAACUUGUGAUCCUCCUACCUCAGCCUCCUGAGCUGCUGGGAUUAUAGGAGUGCACCGAGGUGCCCGGCUUGCCUGCUGUUUUCGAAAGCUGAGUGUGCGUUCUCGGUGGAGUGAAUCCUGAGGUCUGUAUCUUUUGCUUGAAUUUUUGAAAAAAACAAAACAAAACAAAACAAAACCUAAUUGCAAAGAUUAAAACCUGAGCGAUUGUA